rnacentral:snoRNA from 1 species
AAGACUAUGCCUUCAGGAUCCUGUCUAUAGCCUGUUACUACAGAAGCUUCUCUGAAUGUGCAGAGCACGGGAACCCAGGAGGGGGAGGUGCAGCAUCCUCCCUGGUGGUGAAGUCGGAACCCACGAGAAGGGGCGCAGUGUUCUCCCUGAGUGUGAAGCUAGCUCUUGGUGUGUUUCGCGACAACUACCACUCCCCACUCAUGAUCCUUCUCCUCCUCCUCUGGAGUUAAGAGGGACAGGGCAUAGUCAGAAGGA